GAUGAACGCUGGCGGCGUGCCUAAUACAUGCAAGUCGAGCGGAAAGGUUCUGCACUUAGUAUUUGACCCUGGUAAGUCUGCGGAUACUGCCAAGAAGCGAUAAUCUCUAGGCUAGAGAUUACUGUCGAAUGUUAAGUGUAGAAUACUCGAGCGGCGGACGGCUGAGUAACACGUAGGAACGUACCCAAAGUGAGGGAUAAGCACCGGAAACGGUGUCUAAUACCGCAUGUGCUCUAAGGAGUAAAGCUUCGGCGCUUUGGGAACGGCCUGCGCAUGAUUAGCUUGUUGGUGAGGUAAUAGCUCACC
rnacentral:rRNA from 1 species